GACGAACGCUGGCGGCGUGCUUAACACAUGCAAGUCGAACGCGACCUUGCUUCGGUGGGGUUGAGUGGCGAACGGGUGAGUAACACGUGGGUAAUCUGCCCUGUACUCUGGGAUAAGCCUGGGAAACUGGGUCUAAUACCGGAUAGGACUGUUGCAGGCAUCUGUGAUGGUGGAAAGUUUUGGCGGUAUGGGAUGAGCCCGCGGUCUAUCAGCUUGUUGGUGGGGUGAUGGCCUACCAAGGCGACGACGGGUAGCCGGCCUGAGAGGGUGUCCGGCCACACGGGGACUGGGACACGGCCCAGACGCCUACGGGAGGCAGCAGUGGGGAAUAUUGCACAAUGGGCGGAAGCCUGAUGCAGCGACGCCGCGUGGGGGAUGACGGCCUUCGGGUUGUAAACCUCUUUCGCCAGGGACGAAGCCCUUCGGGGUGACGGUACCUGGAUAAGAAGCACCGGCUAACUACGUGCCAGCAGCCGCGGUAAUAC
rnacentral:rRNA from 1 species